rnacentral:lncRNA from 1 species
AUAUUUGGUACUAAUAAAAUAUUUGAGUGUUUGAAGAGAAGUUUCAGGAAGCUAGGAUCCUAUCUCAAAGAAGCUCAUGAUUUUUGAUUUAAAGAUUCAAAGAAGAAAGAUUUAAGAAGUCAAGCCAAGCAUUUUUAAAGAAAAUAAGGGUUCGAGUCAACUCUGGCAUCAAUUCAAUUUUUGGCAUAGGAUUUGAGUUGACAAAAAUAGAUCUCAAGUCAAUUUAGCAUGCAGAUUGGCACUAGCAC